GGGGGGGGUAAGCGUUGUUCGGAAUUACUGGGCGUAAAGGGCUCGUAGGCGGCCAACUAAGUCGGACGUGAAAUCCCUCAGCUUAACUGGGGAACUGCGUCCGAUACUGGAUGGCUUGGAUUCGGGAGAGGAAUGCGGAAUUCCAGGUGUAGCGGUGAAAUGCGUAGAUAUCUGGAGGAACACCGGUGGCGAAGGCGGCAUUCUGGACCGACAUUGACGCUGAGGAGCGAAAGCCAGGGGAGCAAACGGGAUUAGAUACCCCGGUAGUCCUGGCCCUAAACGAUGAAUGCUUGGUGUGGCGGGUAUCGAUCCCUGCCGUGCCGAAGCUAACGCAUUAAGCAUUCCGCCUGGGGAGUACGGUCGCAAGGCUG
rnacentral:rRNA from 1 species